rnacentral:rRNA from 1 species
GAUGAACGCUGGCGGCGUGCCUAAUACAUGCAAGUCGAGCGAACGGACGAGAAUCUUGCUUCUCUGAUGUUAUCGGCGGACGGGUGAGUAACACGUGGAUAACCUACCUAUAAGACUGGGAUAACUUCGGGAAACCGUAGCUAAUACCGGAUAAUAUUUUGAACCUCAUGGUUCAAAAGUGAAAGACGGUCUUGCUGUCACUUAUAGAUUGAUCCGCGCUUCAUUAGCUAGUUGGUAAGGUAACGGCUUACCAAGGCAACGAUGCAUAGCCGACCUGAGAGGGUGGUCGGCCAGACUGGAAGUGAGAAACGGUACAGACACCGACGGGAGGAAGCAGUAGGGAAUCUUACGCAAUGGGCGAAAGCCUGACGGAGCAACGCCGCGUGAGGGAUGAAGGUCUUAGGAUCGGAAAACUCUGUUAUUAGGGAAGAACAAAAGUGUAAGUAACUGUGCACAUCUUGACGGUACCUAAUCAGAAAGCCACGGCUAACUACGUG